rnacentral:ribozyme from 1 species
AAAUGAAGCGUGAAAUAAGCCAAGUCAACAGUGAAGAGGAACAAAGGAACAACCCAUGAUGUGUGUGCUUUAGUCUAACCGUUGACUGGCCUUGGUUGUGUGGUGGCUCUUUUUCUCCUUUCCAUUCAGCUAAAUUCAUGCUUUCAUUACAUUCCACUUCAUUUCAUUAUAAUUUAGCUGAAUGUAAAGGGAAAAAGAAGAACCACACACCUUAAUUUCCUGUUUCUUUUCUUUUCUUUUUUAUUGAAUUAAA